UUAAGCAGCCACACCUGAGUGUGAGUGCCUGAUAGUGUCUGAUCUCGGAAGCUAAGCAGGGGCUGUGCCUGGUUGGUACUUGGAUGGGAGACCAACUUGAAAGACCAGGGGCUACUAGCC
rnacentral:rRNA from 12 species